rnacentral:rRNA from 1 species
CCUACGGGUGGCAGCAGUGGGGGAUAUUGCACAAUGGGGGAAACCCUGAUGCAGCGACGCCGCGUGAGUGAAGAAGUAAUUCGUUAUGUAAAGCUCUAUCAGCAGGGAAGAAAAUGACGGUGCUUGAGGAAGAAGCCCCGGCUAACUACGUGCCAGCAGCCGCCGUAAUACGUAGGGGGCAAGCGUUAUCCGGAUUUACUGGGUGGAAAGGGAGCGUAGACGGCGGUGCAAGUCUGGAGUGAAAGGCGGGGGCUCAACCCCCGGACUGCUCUGGAAACUGUGGUGCUGGAGUGCAGGAGAGGCAAGUGGAAUUCCUAGUGUAGCGGUGAAAUGCGUAGAUAUUAGGAGGAACAUCAGUGGCGAAGGUGGCUAUCUGGAACGUAACUGACGCUGAGGAGCGAAAGCGUGGGGAGCAAACAGGAUUAGAUACCCUAGUAGUC